GUCCUACGGGACGCAGCAGUGAGGAAUAUUGGUCAAUGGGCGAGAGCCUGAACCAGCCAAGUCGCGCGAAGGAUGACGGCCCUACGGGUUGUAAACUUCUUUUGUCAGGGAGCAAUUGAGUCCACGUGUGGUCUUAGCGAGAGUACCUGAAGAAAAAGCAUCGGCUAACUCCGUGCCAGCAGCCGCGGUAAUACGGAGGAUGCGAGCGUUAUCCGGAUUUAUUGGGUUUAAAGGGUGCGUAGGCGGAAUAGCAAGUCAGCGGUAAAAAUUCGGGGCUCAACCCCGUCGAGCCGUUGAAGCUGAUG
rnacentral:rRNA from 1 species